rnacentral:rRNA from 1 species
AGAGUUUGAUCCUGGCUCAGGAUGAACGCUGGCGGCGUGCUUAACACAUGCAAGUCGAACGGUGAAAGAGGAGCUUGCUCCUCUGGAUCAGUGGCGAACGGGUGAGUAACACGUGAGUAACCUGCCCCAGACUCUGGGAUAAGCACUGGAAACGGUGUCUAAUACCGGAUACGAGCUUCAGCCGCAUGGCUAGGAGCUGGAAAGAAUUUCGGUCUGGGAUGGACUCGCGGCCUAUCAGCUAGUUGGUGAGGUAACGGCCCACCAAGGCGACGACGGGUAGCCGGCCUGAGAGGGUGACCGGCCACACUGGGACUGAGACACGGCCCAGACUCCUACGGGAGGCAGCAGUGGGGAAUAUUGCACAAUGGGCGCAAGCCUGAUGCAGCAACGCCGCGUGAGGGACGACGGCCUUCGGGUUGUAAACCUCUUUUAGUAGGGAAGAAGCGAAAGUGACGGUACCUGCAGAAAAAGCACCGGCUAACUACGUGCCAGCAGCCGCGGUAAUACGUAGGGUGCAAGCGUUAUCCGGAAUUAUUGGGCGUAAAGAGCUCGUAGGCGGUUUGUCACGUCUGCUGUGAAAACUGGAGGCUCAACCUCCAGCCUGCAGUGGGUACGGGCAGACUAGAGUGCGGUAGGGGAGAUUGGAAUUCCUGGUGUAGCGGUGGAAUGCGCAGAUAUCAGGAGGAACACCGAUGGCGAAGGCAGAUCUCUGGGCCGUAACUGACGCUGAGGAGCGAAAGCAUGGGGAGCGAACAGGAUUAGAUACCCUGGUAGUCCAUGCCGUAAACGUUGGGGACUAGAUGUAGGGACCAUUCCACGGUUUCUGUGUCGCAGCUAACGCAUUAAGUUCCCCGCCUGGGGAGUACGGCCGCAAGGCUAAACUCAAAGGAAUUGACGGGGGCCCGCACAAGCGGCGGAGCAUGCGGAUUA